rnacentral:rRNA from 1 species
UGGGGGAUAUUGCACAAUGGGGGAAACCCUGAUGCAGCAACGCCGCGUGAAGGAAGACGGUUUUCGGAUUGUAAACUUCUGUUCUUAGUGACGAUAAUGACGGUAGCUAAGGAGAAAGCUCCGGCUAACUACGUGCCAGCAGCCGCGGUAAUACGUAGGGAGCGAGCGUUGUCCGGAAUUACUGGGUGUAAAGGGAGCGUAGGCGGGAGAUCAAGUCAGAUGUGAAAACUAUGGGCUCAACCCAUAACCUGCAUUUGAAACUGGUUUUCUUGAGUGAAGUAGAGGCAGGCGGAAUUCCGAGUGUAGCGGUGAAAUGCGUAUAUAUUCGGAGGAACACCAGUGGCGAAGGCGGCCUGCUGGGCUUUUACUGACGCUGAGGCUCGAAAGCAUGGGGAGCAAACAG